rnacentral:rRNA from 1 species
AACGAACGCUGGCGGCGUGCUUAACAUAUGCAAGUCGAGCGAGAAAGGGAGCUUCGGCACCUGAGUAAAGCGGCGCACGGGUGAGUAACACGUGGGUAACCUGCCUUUCAGUGGGGGAUAACAGUUCGAAAGGGCUGCUAAUACCGCAUUCGUCCACACGGUCACAUGUCUGUGUGGAGAAAGAGGCGCAAGUCUCGCUGGAAGAUGGGCCCGCGGUCCAUUAGCUAGUUGGUGGGGUAAAGGCCUACCAAGGCUUCGAUGGAUAGCUGGUCUGAGAGGAUGAUCAGCCACACUGGAACUGAGACACGGUCCAGACUCCUACGGGAGGCAGCAGUGGGGAAUAUUGGACAAUGGGGGCGAACCCUGAUCCAGCCAUGCCGCGUGAAGGAUGAAUGUCGUAAGAUUGUAAACUUCUUUUUGAGGUAGACGAAAAACGAGUUGGUAGCUCGAAUUGACUGUACCCUUAGAAUAAGCCCGGCUAACUACGUGCCAG